CCUACGGGGGGCAGCAGUGGGGAAUAUUGCACAAUGGGGGAAACCCUGAUGCAGCAACGCCGCGUGAGUGAAGAAGUAUUUCGGUAUGUAAAGCUCUAUCAGCAGGGAAGAAGAUGACGGUACCUGAAUAAGAAGCCCCGGCUAACUCCGUGCCAGCAGCCGCGGUAAUACGUAGGGGGCAAGCGUUAUCCGGAUUUACUGGGUGUAAAGGGAGCGCAGACGGCAGUGCAAGUCUGGAGUGAAAGCCCGGGGCCCAACCCCGGAACUGCUCUGGAAACUGUGCGGCUAGAGUACUGGAGGGGCAGGCGGAAUUCAGAGUGAAGCGGUGACAGUCGUAGAUAUAAGGAGGAACACGAGUGGCGAAGGCGGCCUGCUGGACAGUAACUGACUUUGAGGCUCGAGAGCGUGGGGAGAAAACAGGAUUAGAUACCCGUGUAGUC
rnacentral:rRNA from 1 species